AUUGAACUCUGGCGGCAGGCCUAACACAUGCAAGUCGAGCGAGCGGCGGACGGGUGAGUAAUUUCUGGGAAAAUGCCUGAUGGAGAGGGAUAACUACUGGAAAAGGUAGCUAAUACCGCAUACCAUCAGAUGUACCCCGAUGGGAGUAGCUAGUAGGUGGGGUAAUGGCGCACCUAGGCGACGAUCCCUAGCUGGUCUGAGAGGAUGACCAGCCACACUGGACCUGAGAGACGGUCCAGACGCCUACGGGAGGCAGCAGUGGGGAAUAUUGCACAUUGGGCGCAAGCCGGAUGCAGCCAUGCCGCGUGUGUGAAGAAGGCCUUCGGGUUGUAAAGCACUUUCAGCGAGGAGGCGGACUCGCAGAAAAGCACCGGCUAACUCCGUGCCAGCAGCAGCGGUAAUUC
rnacentral:rRNA from 1 species